rnacentral:rRNA from 1 species
CGGCGAGCGGCGGACGGGUGAGUAAUGUCUGGGGAUCUGCCCGAUGGAGGGGGAUAACUACUGGAAACGGUAGCUAAUACCGCAUAAUGUCGCAAGACCAAAGUGGGGGACCUUAGGGCCUCACGCCAUCGGAUGAACCCAGAUGGGAUUAGCUGGUAGGUGAGGUAACGGCUCACCUAGGCGACGAUCCCUAGCUGGUCUGAGAGGAUGACCAGCCACACUGGAACUGAGAAACGGUCCAG